UACGUAGGGGGCAAGCGUUGUCCGGAUUUAUUGGGCGUAAAGAGCGUGUAGGCGGCCAGACAGGUCCGUUGUGAAAACUCGAGGCUCAACCUCGAGACGUCGACGGAAACCGUCUGGCUAGAGUCCGGAAGAGGAGUGUGGAAUUCCUGGUGUAGCGGUGAAAUGCACAGAUAUCAGGAAGAACACCUAUGGCGAAGGCAGCACUCUGGGACGGUACUGACGCUGAGACGCGAAAGCGUGGGGAGCGAACAGG
rnacentral:rRNA from 1 species